CAGCUGCCGUUCUAUAACAAGGAGAACCCUAACCCCAGUUCAUCACACCUAGAAUCAGAAACGUCGACCCCUUCUAACGUAUGUAACAGUCCGGGCUUUAAGGUAACUCCUCGCCCUUGUCGUUUGGUAUUUCAGAAGUGUGAAUUUGUGCGUUAUUUAUAUUAUAACGCCGCUGUGUGUUGCUGUGAUUCAUUGUUUGAUUAAUUGUGAGGCGGGGCUUGAGUGGAGGAGAGAUCUGGAUUACCUCAGAACAAAGACACCGUGGGAUAAUGAGGAAGAGAUCCGGAGCUUUGAUGAGGGCGAUUACCCUUGGGAUACGCACUGAAGAAGGAUUUGCGUAGGUGGCGUACAGUAGAACUGAAAAAAAGGCUGUUGUUGUUCUGUAGGCGAUGAGUGAUGCAGACCCUAACCGAUAUUGUGUUGUUGGUGCUUUGUUACUUUAAUUAGAUACGAACUGAGAGUUUAUUGUUGAAAAAUCCAGUAUCAUGGAAUGAGCAAUUUAACACAGAAGAGCAGCUCCAAAAUUGAUUAGGCGGCUCGUGGUUCCCUCGUUCUAUACCUCUUCACGAAUCGGUUAUUAAUAUAGUAACUUUUGUUGGGUAUAAAGCUAUCCUGGAUUACAAUAAAUUUUUUCAUUUCGAACUCCAAUUAAUAGUUUCUUGACAAAAAAAAAAAUCACUCAGAACUUGGUUAAAUUGCAUUCAUUCCAGUUCAACUUAGUACAUGAAUAAAAAGUCGUUAGAACAGAGAA